AGACAUGCAAGUCGAGCGCUGAUUUCGGGGUUAGCAAUACUCCGGAGUCGGAGCGGCGCAAGGGUGCGUAACACGUGGGUAAUCUGCCAUGAAGUUCGGGAUAACUUGCUGAAAGGCGAGCUAAUACCGGAUGUGACAACUGAGAGGCAUCUCCUGGUUGUUAAAGUUGGGGACCGUAAGGCCUGACGCUUCUUGAUGAACCCGCGGCCUAUCAGCUAGUUGGUGAGGUAACGGCUCACCAAGGCUAAGACGGGUAGCUGGUCUGAGAGGACGACCAGCCACACUGGAACUGAGACACGGUCCAGACACCUACGGGUGGCAGCAGUCGAGAAUUUUUCACAAUGGGCGCAAGCCUGAUGGAGCGACGCCGCGUGGGGGAUGAAUGGCUUCGGCCCGUAAACCCCUGUCAUUCGCGAUCAAACCUUAUUAUUUAAAAGAUGAUGAGCUGAUAGUAGCGGAAGAGGAAGGGACGGCUAACUCUGUGCCAGCAGCCGCGGUAAUACAGAGGU
rnacentral:rRNA from 1 species